UGAAACUGAACCGCGAGGGUCGUGGUUCAGGACAGUCUGGUGGCAAGGCUGGAGACAGCUAACAUAUUCUCUUCAGGCUCCAAGCGUGAGUCUGAGCCUGGAGAUGGGGCCCAGUACUCUCAGCGUUCCUAACGGAUUCCCUGGGAAUUCUGAUAGCCAAGUUUGGAAAGCGUGGAAGUCAGAAUGUGAUGCAAUCGAGCAGGCUUCCACCUUGCUCGUUACAGUCGCAUUCCACACAUGCUUUCUGGUGACAACACCCACAUCACCCUAGGAACAUGGGUGUUCCUAACUUGUCAGAUCCUCAUGCACCCCGGGCCCUGGGAGGACGUUCCUGUCACUGGCUGCUUCUACCCUGAUUUCGUCCUCAGAGUAGCAGUCCCGAGGUUGAGUGUGACCCCAGAUCACCCCUCCCGUGGAGGUGCUUCUGCUGGGGAGGACCCGCAUGCUUGCUUGUGUUUACGCCUGGGGAAGCCCCUCUUGGCAAGAUGCUUGGAAGAGGCUCCAGAAGGCAGAGCUCAGAGGACGACUUGGUGUUUCAGAAGGAUUCACUUCAUGGUAGGAAAUUCUUUCCGAAGGAGAUGUCCACCAGCAGUGCCCAGAGUGAGCCCUGCCCAGAAAACCCCACCCCGCCGUCCCCGCACCUAGCACGAGGGAGCAGAACCACACUCCUGCACCUUCCGUGUUCCCGGCCCUCUACGUAAGCAAUCCCGUUGAAUCUUCCAAACAGCCCUGUUGACGUUGUCCUCGGUUUACCGAUGAAGAAUCAGGCCUGCAGAGCGUAAGUCAUUUGCCCAAGGUCACAUCUAAAAAGUAGUGAAGCCAGAUAGGUCCUGCUCUUCCCCACCUGCCCAGCUGUCCCCCACCCCAGAAUUAGAAAGUAGCAAGCUGAAGCUGCAUCUUGAUCUCCCUGAGGUGUCAUCAAGAAAACACAGGAGUCAGAGAUGAAGCCUCCAGCCACAGGGAAGUUUGACCCACCUCGUGCUCCAAAACCCGUUUGGGCGACACAAGCAAAUAAAGUGUCGGCGUUUGCAUGAGCAGCCUCCCAGCACAGAAGAGGAUGCACGGGGAUCUGACGCUAAGAGACAAGCUCUCCCACACGCGGUACGUUGGAAGUGGCGAGCUCCCUCUGGUUUUGAAAUUGGAUAGCAAAACAGGUUAAGGACGGGGGCUGGCCCAAUGGCGCAGUAGUUAAGUUCUCGUGUUCCGCUUUGGCGGCCCGGGGUUUGCCAGUUCAGAUCCCGGGUGCGGACCUACACGCUGCUUGCCAGCCAUGCUGUGGUAGGCGUCCCACAUAGAAAGUAGAAGAAGAUGGGCACGGAUGUUAGCUCAGGGCCAGUCUUCCUCAGCAAAAAGAGGAGGAUUGGCAGUGAAUGUUAACUAAGGGCUAAUUGUCCUCAAAAAAAAACAGGUUAAGGACAAUGUUUCCUACCUCAUGGGGCCAAUAAUUUGAGAAUUAGCUGAUAAUAUUUGCAAAACCCCUUCUAUCUGGCUCACCACAGUGGUGGCUGUUACUG
rnacentral:lncRNA from 1 species